rnacentral:lncRNA from 1 species
CAGGUCCAGUGCUCAACUGCUUUAAAAGUCUGCUUGUAGCUCACUUGCCAUUUCUUUUACUUCAUGGGCUUUGGCAAGUCAUAUUGAAAUGCUCAGGAUAAGGACAGGAAGUGGCCACAUGAACAUAAGGACACAGGGACACUGGGUGAUGUCAAAGUCAAUAAUCAGUUCCCAAUAUCAUUGGAAAGUACAACCAGGGGUGUCUAGUGCUGUGGAGUCAACACAACUGGGCUGAACUCAUGGAAACUUUUGGUUCCAAAUAGAGGAAGUCAUAGCAACAACAGCGAUUCAUCUUCCGGCUUUCAUCAGCUCCUCAUGGCCUCGCUGUCAUCGUCAUCUGAGCUAAAAACAAUCCAACCAAGGGAAAGGCAUCUCCUCUCCUGCCAUUCCACUCUCCUCUCCACCACCGAUGGCACAUUCUCUGUAGUUUUUGUUCCUGCCUCCAUUUUGGUGAGUUGUCAUGAAGAAAUAAAGGUAUGUGGUGGUGGGUGGCUUUCCCCCAAGUGUUCAUCUCUUGCAUUUCCAAAUAGGCCCAUUGGGCUACUUUGUGUGCUUCAAGCUAAAAUGGGCUUGUUUCUAAAAAUAGACCUCUGUUCCUGCUGUGCCAUCUGCACCAUCCCUUUGUAUAAACCAAAA